GACGAACGCUGGCGGCGUGCUUAACACAUGCAAGUCGAACGGAAAGGCCCUGCUUUUGUGGGGUGCUCGAGUGGCGAACGGGUGAGUAACACGUGAGUAACCUGCCCUUGACUUUGGGAUAACUUCAGGAAACUGGGGCUAAUACCGGAUAGGAGCUCUGGCGGCAGGGGGGGGUUGGGAAGGUUUCGGCGGUUGGGGAUGGACUCGCGGCUUAUCAGCUUGUUGGUGGGGUAGUGGCUUACCAAGGCUUGGCCGGGUAGCCGGCCUGAGAGGGUGACCGGCCACAUUGGGACUGAGAUACGGCCCAGACUCCUACGGGAGGCAGCAGUGGGGAAUAUUGCACAAUGGGCGGAAGCCUGAUGCAGCAACGCCGCGUGCGGGAUGACGGCCUUCGGGUUGUAAACCGCUUUCGCCUGUGACGAAGCGUGAGUGACGGUAAUGGGUAAAGAAGCACCGGCUAACUACGUG
rnacentral:rRNA from 1 species